UAAAUAAGUGAAAAGUAUUUUUUAUCAAGGAAUUACCCAAAAACCAAAGGAAGUUGUCGAAUGCUCAAAAAGGGUUUAAACUACAAAAAUAAAUCACGAUAAUCGCAGCCCAACAAAGGAAUCUCGCUUGAUGAUACAAUGAUAUGUAGCAGUAGAGUUCAGUCGGUGACGUUGCUGGGACCCGGAGGGUCGCUAGCGGGGAGGCUAAGCAAGUGUUAGGCUUCUAGGAAGAUAAGAGCCGUCGGUUUCGGCUCCAUGUUGCUCUUCUUCGCCUCAACGACCAGGAACUCGAUGUCGUCGCGGUCUCGCCGCGCAAAUGACUCCGCAAUGAGGCGGGCAACGUCUUGGUGCUGGAGGCCCUCGACACGAGUGCCGUCCACCUGGAGGAUCAACUGGCCCACUUCCAAGCCUCCCGCGCUGUACGCAGCCCCGUUUUCCUGUAUUAAAUCAUGCACAUGAGUUGCGAAACUCCCACUUAAUUUCUACUUCAGAAUAAAAUUACACCCUCGUGUUGACUUUUGACAUACGCGGUGGGAUUCAGA